AGCAGCCGCGGUAAUUCCAGCUCCAAUAGCGUAUAUUAAAGUUGUUGCAGUUAAAAGCUCGUAGUUGAACUUCGGGGUUUACCCAUUGGUCAGGCUUAAUUGUCUGUACUGGUGAGAUGAAUCUCUACCUUCUGAGGAACUUUCAUGCCAUUUAUUUGGUGUGAUGGGAAAUCAGGACUGUUACUUUGAAAAAAUUAGAGUGUUUAAAGCAGGCUAACGUCUGAAUACAUUAGCAUGGAAUAAUGAAAUAGGACGGACUGAUUCUAUUUCGUUGGUUUCUAGGAUCACCGUAAUGAUUAAUAGGGAUAGUUGGGGGCAUUAGUAUUCAAUUGUCAGAGGUGAAAUUCUUGGAUUUAUUGAAGACUAACUACUGCGAAAGCAUUUGCCAAGGAUGUUUUUCAUUAAUGCAAGAACGAAAGUUAGGGGAUCGAAGACGAUCAGAUACCGUCGUAGUCUUAACCAUAAACUAUGCCGACUAGGGAUCGGACGAAGUUAAUUUUAUAAUGACGCGUUCGGCGCC
rnacentral:rRNA from 1 species